UCAAAUUCAUUUACUUCAAUGAUAUAUUGUAGUAUUAAUUAAAAUUAUGAAUAAAAUUUGAAGUGAACUUUUUCACGUGCUGACUUGUAGCUUAUCUUUAAUCGUGCCAUGUUUGUGCAACCCAAGUGCCUAGACAUCUAAGCCCAAUUCUGCCCACGUUCAUGUUGUGCUAUGCCAGGUGCCAUGUCGAGCAUGCUUGUACUGUUCUGUGUUGUAUGGACGCAUGUUCUGCCUAUAUUGUACCACUUCGUUUGUUGGACAACCCUAGUUGUAACUAGCAAAACCCAAUUCUAAAAAUUCCCAAAACCUCUAAUAACGCUACUCAAAAUCAAAACAGGGACUCAGCAAAUAAAAAAUAAAUUAAUAAGUACAUUAAAUUUAAAUCCAAAUAGAUACUACACAUAGAGAAAAGAAUUGUUUAUUUUCCUCCCAUAUUUUUGGGCGUGCAACAAAGCGCCAUUAUACAGAGGAUUGAUUUAUACCUAGGAGCUGAAAUUUAGAAUAAUAAUGAUAAUGAAGUUGUCUUAAAAAUGAUGGAGUGAGUGAAAGGAAUAUCAUUCGCAUGAGACGUGAAAAUUAUAGAAGAGAGAGAGGAAAAAAAAAAGGAAUUUGAGCAAGAGUUUAAAAUAAUGAAAAAAAUCUGAUAUGGGGUUUGAAGAAUAAUGAAAAAAUGAAGAUUGGGGUUCAAAAGGAGGAGUUUCAAGUAAAAUGUUAUUUUUGUCUUUAAGAAUUGUGUUAUAAGCAUUAAGAAAUGGUGAGGCUAUUAGAACUCACUAAAUUUCUCUUUAAGAAUGGUGAUAAAAAUUAAAAGGAGAUUGGGGUUCAAAAUGAGGAGUUUUAAGUAAAAUGCUAUUUUUGUCAUUAAGAAUGGUGUUAUAAGAAUUAAAAAAGGGUGAGACUAUUAGAACUCACUAAAUUCCUCUUCAUACAUUGUAUGUAUGUAUAUAUGUAUGUAUGUAUGUGUAAUUAAAAAUUUUAAAAUCUCAAAAUUACUCUUUGCUCAUUUUCUCUCUCUACUUUCAUAUUAUAUGUUCUCUCUUUAUUAUCACAUUAUGUAUUUUGAAAUCUCAGUUUCAUUCUUUUAUCCAUUGAUUCUUUUCUUUUCUUAAUAAAUCAAAUUUUAUUUCUUUCUUCAUAUUACUGUUCUUUUUCUUUUUAUUCAUCUUAAAUUUUGUUGUUUCAAGGAUAAAUUUGAAACCCAAUGAAACUUUUAUGGUUUCCAUGGCUAGUAAAAAUUGAUUAAUAUUCUUUCUUUUAUGGUAGAUUUUUUAUUAGUUGGUUAAAAACAAUGUCAAUGUUUAUUUGAAAUUGAAAGAUAAAAGUUUAAAUUAUCUACAUUCAAAUUGGGGAACUGGGAGAAAAAGAGAAGUAGGGUUGGCUGAGUAAUUUUAUUAAAAAUUAUUUUGAAAACAAAAACUUAAUUUGAAUUCAGGGUUCAAAGGGAAAAUUGGUUAACUCAAAUAACUUCACCCUAUAGAAAUUUGUAUUAUAUUUAAAUAUUUUAAUAAGGUAGAAAAAGAAUAGGGUUUCCAAAGGUUAUUGGACAAUGCCAAUAGUCCAACUUAAAUUAAAUUGGACAAUUUUUACAUAACUUAUUUUUAAAAUAGUAUAAUUCAAAAUUGUCCAAACAAAAAAAAAGUCUCCACUCUUCAAUAACUAUCGUUCGAAUCCACUUUGAUUAAUUAUAGAGUACUGAUAUUUGACCCCUCAAUUUAUUUUAUUAGCUCUUAUUUUUCUCAUUUUAACUUAAAAUGACUAAAAUAGUAACUUAAAUGUUUAAAAUUUACCGUUCUUUUCUCUCUCCUCUCCCUCGUUUAGUGGUUUACCAAGUUUCUAUGGUUAAAAAGGUAAUUUUCAGUAUCAUCCCUUGAGGUUUGGGGUCCCUUCACUUAGAUAAAAUGUAUAAGGGUAUCUCCACUUUGCACCCCUACCGUUAGUAUAAAGUUUAGUAUAUAUUUAGUAUGUGAGGGCAUUUAAAUAAUUAUUUGCUAACUUAUUAAAUAGUAAAAACAUUUUGAAUUUUUACACUUUGGAAACAGGAACAUGUCAGAAACAUUGUUAUGUCUACUAGUAUUAAUAGAAGCAUGUUAGUAUUCAAUGGAUUUUACACCAAAUUAAAAACAAUUAAUGUCCCCUAGGUAAUAAUAGAAACAUGUUAGUGUUCAAUGGGUUUUUAUACCAAAUAAAAAAUAAUGAUUUGUUUAAUUUUUAUCUUUACAAAUGGGAAAAACAAAUUCAUAUAAGCAUUAACGCAUUAAGCGAAUUCGUUGCUGUGACGAAUAAGAUGUCGGGGAAGCAAUCGAAAUCAAGUUUGACGAGAACUGAUGUAAGAGUUCAAACUGAUUCAACGGCUUUGAGCGAAUACUGGCAACGACCAAGAACCCACCCACCUUCCGAUGGAGCCACAUGCCAGGUAACUGAAACUUCCCUUUUUUGUUAUACUUUUUUUUUUCCUUUUUUCAGUGUUGGGAUGAGCUAAAAGUGAAGCUGAGGUUGAACAAUAAUGCUAAUGUGGGUCUACAUAGUUGGUGCGUGUGUUUUUUUUUUUCCCUUCAAAUCAUGAAAACCCAUGAUAAAAAUUGUUGUUUUAGUUGGUUAUUAUUCAUUUGAUAUUGAUUUUAGAGGCUGACUGCUACUAAAAUUAAGAACUUGGCAUGACUAAUUUUAGUUGGAUUAUAUGUUUUGGUUUCUAAAUUGUGAAUAGUCAUUGCAUAAACAGUUGUUAAGUUGGUUAACAUCUCGUUAAAGACGGAUAUUUUGGGCAAGAUUUAGAGCAAUAAUAUGACAAAUGCAUGUAUUUAUUUCUUUUUGGGUGGUGAUACAACAAAUGAUAAGUGUAUUUCUCAUGAAUUUUAUUGAGAUCUUAAUAUAAUUUGGCACCAAAUUUGUGAAUGAUCUAAUACCUAGUACAUAUCUAGAUAUUGUUUUACUGACGCAAGGGUAUUUAGUCAUUGAUUCAGUCAAUUAUCAGUCAACUAAACUUUAUACUAACAGUAAGAGUGUAAAGUGAAGAUACCCUUAUACAUUCUAUCUAAGUGAAGGGACCCAAAACCUCAGGGGAUGAAACUGAAAAUUACCCAUGAUUAAAAAUUUGAUGCAAGCUCUGCAUUUUUUAUCUUAUGACAUUCAUUCGAUUCUCAAGAAUGAUUCUGCAAUUCCAAAACGCUAUAAUUGUGCGUCUAAACUUUUUAUCCUAUUUGUGCGUGGUCAGGCUUAAGCUUGAGCUCAUAAUCGAUUAUAGCUAUUGAUUGCGUGGAUUGCAAACUCAUGGCUUAAUUUGAUGCUUAAGUGACUCAAUAUCAAUUUUUUUUUAUUCCUCAUAUUGAAAACUUUGAAACCAAUUUUACUCUCCUCUGAUUCUAUCUCGCAAUAAGAAAACAAAAGUAUGGUGCCACUAUUGGCAACAAAUUGUUAAAUAAAGGCUGUUAAAUAAAACAAUUUAAUGGAUAGAGUAACCUUGGAAAUAAAUUUAGUUAAUUAAGAACUGGGGGCUAAUGAGAUAAACUAUGGGGAUUAAAUAUACCACUCUUAAUUUUAUUUGACAAGAUUCAAAUUACUUGGUGCUUGUACCCAGCCAAAUGUCACCGUGUUGUAAUUUAAAUACCAGUGGUGAAAUUAGACCCCUCAAUUUUUCUUAUCAGCCCCCACUAUUUAAUUAAACACACUUAUUUUCAAAAUUAUACUUAUUAAAAUAUAAAAAUAAUUAAUAAAAAUAAUUCCAAAAACUCUAGCCACUUCCUCCAUCAUUGUUACCACCUUAACUCACCAUUCUUUAUUAUUUAUUCCAAUUUUAGCCACUUUAUUCUUAACCAAUUUUAAUUAUUUAUCGUUUAUUUCAAUGUAUUUAUAAUUUCUUGAUUAUAUACAGAAAUUAUUUUUUACCUUUUUUUCAUUUGAUAUUAUUUUAAUUAUGAUACUAUCAUAUCAAUCUCAUUAAAAUCAAUUCAAAUAAUGAGGGAUUUCAGCCAGCAGCUAUUAGGGAACUUGUUAGUAGGGUCAAUCAAUGACUAAGGGCUAGUGGUGCCAUAGCUUAAUGUGAUGAAAGUAUGGUCGAAGAUGGCUAGGAUUUCUGGAAUUGUAUUUAUAUUUUAAUUAUCUUUUUGUUGUUUAACAAAGGUAAUUGUGUGAAAAUAAGUGAGAUUAAUUAAAAAGUGGAGAUGAUGAGAGAAAUUAACGAAGUCAAAUAUUAGUAAUUUUUAAAUAUAUAGUGGAGCUAUUAGGCCCUAUUUUCUAUCUCAUCAAACCAUAAUUUUAAACACAUAUCGUUAAACUUGGGAUUUUUGGUUCAAGUUCCAGCAGACCGCUUUCUUCUUCUAAGUAUACAUUAAUAUAUAUCUGGAUGGGAUAUAUCAUCUCAUCCACUAAUUUAUAAGUAGUGCCAACUUUUUCCCCCACUAGUUUGUGAGUGGAGAUGUUAUUCUUUCAAAUUUCUAAGGAUUUUGUGAGCAAUUUUAUAAGGGUUAAUUGCGGGUUGUAUAGCAAUUUGUAAAGUUAGAAUUUGAGUUUUAUAUAUCAGUUAUAUAUAUAUAUAUAUAUAUAUGCCCUUCCUCAAUUAGAGAUGGCCAAAUAAGCCGAGCAGCUUAAGGUACAACAUAGGCACGACACGAGCACACUUUAGUAGGGCACAUGACAACGCACAAUAUGCAUGUGGGCUGAGCAAGGGUUUGAUGUUUAGGUACAUGGACUGCAAAAGUACGACAUGAUUAAAGAUAGACCAAAGUAUGGUACAUGAAAAAGCACUAAAAAAACAUGCUUCAAAUUUUAUGUCUUACUUUUAAUUAGAUUAUUGUACUAUAUAUUAUUUAAAUAAACGAAUCUCAAAUGAAAAAUAUUAAAUUCAAGA
rnacentral:lncRNA from 1 species